rnacentral:rRNA from 1 species
GACGAACGCUGGCGGCGUGCUUAACACAUGCAAGUCGAACGGUAAGGCCCUUCGGGGUACACGAGUGGCGAACGGGUGAGUAACACGUGGGUGAUCUGCCCUGCACUUCGGGAUAAGCCUGGGAAACUGGGUCUAAUACCGGAUAGGACUCCUGGCUUCAUGGUUGGGGGUGGAAAGCUUUUGCGGUGUGGGAUGGGCCCGCGGGCUAUCAGCUUGUUGGUGGGGUAAUGGCCUACCAAGGCGACGACGGGUAGCCGGCCUGAGAGGGUGACCGGUCACACUCGGACUGAGAUACGGCCCAGACUCCUACGGGAGGCAGCAGUGGGGAAUAUUGCACAAUGGGCGCAAGCCUGAUGCAGCGACGCCGCGUGAGGGAUGACGGCCUUCGGGUUGUAAACCUCUUUCAGCUAUGACGAAGCGCAAGUGACGGUAGUAGCAGAAGAAGGACCGGCCAACUACGUGCCAGCCGCCGCGGUAA